rnacentral:rRNA from 1 species
CCCUUAGAUGUUCUGGGCCGCACGCGUGCUACACUGAGUGGAUCAGCGGGUCAGGUUGCGCGAAAGCGUUUCCUAAUCUUUAAAUCCGCUCGUGAUGGGGAUUGACGGUUGCAAUUUUCUGUCAUGAACGAGGAAUACCUUGUAAGCGCGGGUCAUCAUCCCGCGCUGAAUACGUCCCUGCCCUUUGUACACACCGCCCGUCGCACCUACCGAUUGAAUGGUCCGGUGAAAUCUUCGGAUUGAGACUUUGAUUUGUUUACUCAAAACGCUGUUUCAAGAAGUUGAUUAAACCUUACCAUUUAGAGGAAGGUGAAGUCGUAACA